CCUACGGGGAGCAGCAGUCGAGAAUCAUUCACAAUGGGGGAAACCCUGAUGGUGCGACGCCGCGUGGGGGAAUGAAGGUCUUCGGAUUGUACACCCCUGUCAUGUGGGAGCAAAUUAAAAAGAUAGUACCACAAGAGGAAGAGACGGCUAACUCUGUGCCAGCAGCCGCGGUAAUACAGAGGUCUCAAGCGUUGUUCGGAAUCACUGGGCGUAAAGCGUGCGUAGGCUGUUUCGUAAGUCGUGUGUGAAAGGCGCGGGCUCACCCCGCGGACGGCACAUGAUACUGCGAGACUAGAGUAAUGGAGGGGGAACCGGAAUUCUCGGGGUAGCAGUGAAAUGCGUAGAUAUCGAGAGGAACACUCGUGGCGAAGGCGGGUUCCUGGACAUUAACUGACGCUGAGGCACGAAGGCCAGGGGAGCGAAAGGGAUGAGAUACCCUUGUAGUC
rnacentral:rRNA from 1 species